UGACAUGCAGCACUGGGAGUCUAUCAGUGAACAAGCUACGUAUUGUCUCUGCCUUCAUGGAGAUUCCCACCUAUUAUGGGAGACAUACAUCUAAAAAAUAUCAUGGAACUGGCCAAGUUAAUGGAUACCUUGAAUGAUUGCAUCAAGUACAAAGGAUUGGGACAAGUGGACUGAGAUGAAAUUUGACGGAAAUAAAGUGAGAAGUAUGUAGACUUUCGUAAGCUGCUCGUCUUCAUGGGGUUUUGAGAAGGGAAGAUGCCUCUGGUAAUUUCUAAAAUGU